rfam:Danio rerio chromosome 14, GRCz11 reference primary assembly.
UCCUAAAUUUUCUUUCUGCAGCCCAAGACCGGUUACUCACUGAAGCUAAGCAGGGCUGAGCCUGGUUAGUACCUGGAUGGGAGACCACUAGGGAACACUAGGUUGCUAUUGGAA